rnacentral:rRNA from 1 species
UACGGGGGGGGCGAGCGUUGUUCGGAUUUACUGGGCGUAAAGGGCGCGUAGGCGGCCACCGCAAGUCGACUGUGAAAUCUCUGGGCUUAACCCAGAACGGUCAGCCGAUACUGCGGGGCUAGAGUGCAGAAGGGGCAACUGGAAUUCUCGGUGUAGCGGUGAAAUGCGUAGAUAUCGAGAGGAACACCUGCGGCGAAGGCGGGUUGCUGGGCUGACACUGACGCUGAGGCGCGAAAGCUAGGGGAGCGAACGGG